GGUUAAGCGACUAAGCGUACACGGUGGAUGCCCUGGCAGUCAGAGGCGAUGAAGGACGUGCUAAUCUGCGAUAAGCGUCGGUAAGGUGAUAUGAACCGUUAUAACCGGCGAUUUCCGAAUGGGGAAACCCAGUGUGAUUCGUCACACUAUCAUUAACUGAAUCCAUAGGUUAAUGAGGCGAACCGGGGGAACUGAAACAUCUAAGUACCCCGAGGAAAAGAAAUCAACCGAGAUUCCCCCAGUAGCGGCGAGCGAACGGGGAGCAGCCCAGAGCCUGAAUCAGUGUGUGUGUUAGUGGAAGCGUCUGGAAAGGCGUGCGAUACAGGGUGACAGCCCCGUACACAAAAAUGCACAUACUGUGAGCUCGAUGAGUAGGGCGGGACACGUGGUAUCCUGUCUGAAUAUGGGGGGACCAUCCUCCAAGGCUAAAUACUCCUGACUGACCGAUAGUGAACCAGUACCGUGAGGGAAAGGCGAAAAGAACCCCGGCGAGGGGAGUGAAAAAGAACCUGAAACCGUGUACGUACAAGCAGUGGGAGCACGCUUAGGCGUGUGACUGCGUACCUUUUGUAUAAUGGGUCAGCGACUUAUAUUCUGUAGCAAGGUUAACCGAAUAGGGGAGCCGAAGGGAAACCGAGUCUUAACUGGGCGUUAAGUUGCAGGGUAUAGACCCGAAACCCGGUGAUCUAGCCAUGGGCAGGUUGAAGGUUGGGUAACACUAACUGGAGGACCGAACCGACUAAUGUUGAAAAAUUAGCGGAUGACUUGUGGCUGGGGGUGAAAGGCCAAUCAAACCGGGAGAUAGCUGGUUCUCCCCGAAAGCUAUUUAGGUAGCGCCUCGUGAAUUCAUCUCCGGGGGUAGAGCACUGUUUCGGCAAGGGGGUCAUCCCGACUUACCAACCCGAUGCAAACUGCGAAUACCGGAGAAUGUUAUCACGGGAGACACACGGCGGGUGCUAACGUCCGUCGUGAAGAGGGAAACAACCCAGACCGCCAGCUAAGGUCCCAAAGUCAUGGUUAAGUGGGAAACGAUGUGGGAAGGCCCAGACAGCCAGGAUGUUGGCUUAGAAGCAGCCAUCAUUUAAAGAAAGCGUAAUAGCUCACUGGUCGAGUCGGCCUGCGCGGAAGAUGUAACGGGGCUAAACCAUGCACCGAAGCUGCGGCAGCGACGCUUAUGCGUUGUUGGGUAGGGGAGCGUU
rnacentral:rRNA from 2 species